rnacentral:rRNA from 1 species
UACGGAAGGCAGCAGUAGGGAAUCUUCCGCAAUGGACGAAAGUCUGACGGAGCAACGCCGCGUGAACGAUGAAGGCUUUUCGGGUCGUAAAGUUCUGUUGUUAGGGAAGAACAAGUACCGGAGUAACUGCCGGUACCUUGACGGUACCUAACCAGAAAGCCACGGCUAACUACGUGCCAGCAGCCGCGGUAAUACGUAGGUGGCAAGCGUUGUCCGGAAUUAUUGGGCGUAAAGCGCGCGCAGGCGGUCCUUUUAAGUCUGAUGUGAAAGCCCACGGCUCAACCGUGGAGGGUCAUUGGAAACUGGGGACUUGAGUGCAGAAGAGGAGAGUGGAAUUCCACGGUGUAGCGGUGAAAUGCGUAGAGAUGUGGAGGAACACCAGUGGCGAAGGCGACUCUCUGGGUCUGUAACUGACGCUGAGGCGCGAAAGCGUGGGGAGCGAACAGGCAUUAGAUACC